rnacentral:rRNA from 1 species
UCCACGCCGUAAACGAUGAUCACUCGCUGUAUGCGAUACACAGUAUGCGGCCAAGCGAAAGCAUUAAGUGAUCCACCUGGGGAGUACGAUCGCAAGGUUGAAACUCAAAGGAAUUGACGGGGGCCCGCACAAGCGGAGGAACAUGUGGUUUAAUUCGAUGAUACGCGAGGAACCUUACCUGGGCUUAAAUGUAGAGCGACAGCUUGUGAAAGCAGGCUUUCUUCGGACGAUCUACAAGGUGCUGCAUGGUUGUCGUCAGCUCGUGCCGUGAGGUGUCGGGUUAAGUCCCAUAACGAGCGC